rnacentral:rRNA from 1 species
UACGAAGGGUGCGAGCGUUGUUCGGAAUUACUGGGCGUAAAGGGCGCGUAGGCGGGUCUGUAAGUCGAUUGUGAAAGCCCUGGGCUUAACCCGGGAAUGGCAGUCGAAACUGCAGAUCUUGAAUGCUUGAGAGGAUGGCGGAAUUCCCGGUGUAGUAGUGAAAUACGUAGAUAUCGGGAAGAACACCUGAGGCGAAGGCGGCUAUCUGGCGAUGCAUUGACGCUGAGGCGCGAAGGCGUGGGGAGCAAACAGG